rnacentral:rRNA from 1 species
CCUACGGGUGGCAGCAGUGGGGGAUAUUGGACAAUGGGGGGAACCCUGAUCCAGCGACGCCGCGUGAGUGAAGAAGUAUUUCGGUAUGUAAAGCUCUGUCAGCAGGGAAGAAAGAAAUGACGGUACCUGACCAAGAAGCCCCGGCUAACUACGUGCCAGCAGCCGCGGUAAUACGUAGGGGGCAAGCGUUAUCCGAAAUUAUUGGUGUAAAGGGGGGCGCAGGCGGUCUGUUAAGUCAGCGGUCAAAGCCCGGGGCUCACCCCCGGCCCGCCGUUGAAACUGGCAGUCUCGAGUUGGAGAGAAGUAUGCGGAAUGCGCGGUGUAGCGGUGAAAUGCAUAGAUAUCGCGCAGAACUCCGAUUGCGAAGGCAGCAUGCCGGCUCCACACUGACGCUGAGGCACGAAAGCGUGGGUAUCGAACAGGAUUAGAUACCCUGGUAGUC